GCACCCGUAGCUCAACUGGAUAGAGCAAUGGUCUUCGGAACCAUAGGUUACAGGUUCGACUCCUGUCGGGUGUA
rnacentral:tRNA from 1 species